rnacentral:piRNA from 1 species
UGAUGCAACAAGAAGCCCCUGGGGAA